AUGGACAUGUCGGCGAUCGCCGCCCGCCUCGGCCUCUCCGGCUCCCGCCCCGUCGUGCGCAAGGCCGCCGAGCUCCGACGCCUCUGGGACAUCAACUUCGACUCCUCCGUCCUCGGCAUCGGGGAGGUGUGCAAGGCCAUCAUCUACCUCGAGAUCGCCGCGACCAAGACGACAUUGGAUGUGCGCGAAUUGGGCAUUCAGUUUGGUUGUGUCAGGCUGAUACCUUUUGUGCAGAAGGGAUUCGUGCUGUACAAGGAGCGUUUCUUGGCUGCAUUGCCUCCUUCUCGGGACUUUGGUCGGCCAGUGUUUACCGCAGCAGUGUUCUAUUUAUGUGCAAAGAGGCAUAAGCUCAAAGUUGACAAACUGAAGCUAAUUGACCUGUGUGGUACAUCUAGCUCUGAAUCUACAACGGUUUCGACAUCUAUGGGAGACCUUUGUUUUGAUGUUUUUGGGAUAGCCAAGGAGAAGAAGGAUCCAACCUCCAUCAAAGGAAAUAGAGAUGCUGGAUUGCCUAGCAAAAGGAAACAUGAGGAUGACAGCGAUCAUUCCGAUGAAUCAUCGGGGGAUGACAAUGAUGACGAGCUAGAUCUACCAACUCACAAAAGGCACAAGAAGAUGGAGAAACAAGCGUACAAUCAGUGGAAGUCUUCAGUUAUCUCCACCAGCAAGCAAACCAAACCAGACCCUACGAAGCCCAGGAAGCAAGCUCAGCUGAACUUCAAGAAGAAACCGCCAGACGCCGCCACCAGCUAA
rnacentral:rRNA from 1 species